rnacentral:rRNA from 1 species
AUGAAGAGCCUGCAACUCUGCUUCUACCUAGCAGACCGUUACUUGUCCUCCAUCGCUCAUGCGGUCGGGGAUGCCGUGAAGAUCGGCGUACCAGAAUACCUGGAGUUUGCGGCGACUGGCUAUAUUGCACGUCCAAGUGAGGCUGAACUAGUACUGUUCAGACAACGCUUUAUGUCCUUCUUCCAUGCUUGCCCAGGUCCCUUCAGUUUGCUCACGAAAUUGACGCUGCGGAACCUUUCUUUUGAAGAUUCAGAUAUCCCCAAUAUCCUCAACACUUGUAAUAAACUUGAGAUCCUGUCAAAUGGGCCAGGACCCUGUCCUUAA